rnacentral:lncRNA from 1 species
UACUAUUUUUGUUGUAGGCAUCAUAGGACUUUCUUCAAAACUUUUACCUAUUACAUGGGUUUAGGGUUAUCAAUGGUGGUGUGGAAUGCAGGAUUGUAAUAAAUUUUGGUGGAUGUUUUAUGGGAAUGAUAGUGUUUUAAAUUUAUUUAGCAGGGAUACUGGUAGUAUUUAGAAUCCUAUAACCAUAGCUACUAAAUACAAUCCUGAAAUGUGAGGAUCUGGUGUUGUUAUUUGGGGGAGGUUCAAAUCCUAACAAUAGUUAGGAUUAUUAAUAUAAUUAUUUAAUCAUUGUAUAAAUAAUAGGCUAUGAUGAAAUAAAAAUUAUUAUUGAUUUCAAAAAUUUAGAGGAUUGGGUGAUUUUUGAGGGUAAAGAAGUCAGGCUUCUUUGUGAAGAUUCUAUAGGUGUGGUUGCAUUGUACAGUUAAUGGAGUUGAUUCAUGGUCGUAAGUGACUGAUCCUUUUGUUAAUAUUUUGUUGUUAUUG